UUUCGAUCUGUCAAAAAUAAGUCUACUCCAGAGGAGACUUAUUUUUGACAGAUCGUGAAUCAUUCGCAUCCAGUGGAACAUCGCUAGAUUGUUAUCAUCAAGUUAAUCUGAUUGGCAUUACAUACGGGCAUUACGUUUUGAGGACUGAUUUUUUCUAUUUAAAAUGGAACCACAAAAUAAGAAAAUAAGCCGAAAAGCAUUGCAGUGCAGACGAUAGGUUUAGCAAGCGGCAUUUGCUCGGACUUCAUUAUAAAAUCUGUCGCUGAAACCUCACGUUAUCGGCCGAGAUGAUCCCGCAGAGCAUUUUUUAAGUUUUCGAGUGGGCGAUGGUUGCAGACGAGAGUGGUUAAAAGAGUAAACUGCAUGAUGCUGAGUUUCCCGAGGAGUUGCUUCAAACAGAAAUCUCGAAAAGCACUAUUACCACACCACCAAACGAAGAAAAGUGCAGUUUCGGCGGAGUCAGGAGCAAACAAUCGCGCAUAAACCAUGCUCAGCACGUUGUGGGUGGAUCUACUUUGUUUGAGGCAGAUAUUCCACAGAUAGUGCGAAUUCCAACGUUCAGGAAAAUAUGUAGGGGAUCAUCGAAAGCUCUUCUCGCUAUAAAGAAGCCUGCUUUCUUU